rnacentral:tRNA from 1 species
GGGGAGCUUAGUGGUAGAGCACAUGCUCAGUGUACAUGAGGUCCUGGGUUCAAUUCCCAGUACCUCCA